rnacentral:misc_RNA from 1 species
GAUGAAGAACGUAGCGAAAUGCGAUAAGUAAUGUGAAUUGCAGAAUUCAGUGAAUCAUCGAAUCUUUGAACGCACCUUGCGCCCUUUGGACAUUCCGAAGGGCAUGCCUGUUUGAGUAUCAUGAACACCUCAACUCUCACGGCUUGUCCGUGAUGAGCUUGGACUUUGGGGGUCUUGCCGGCCUGUGGUCGGCUCCUCUCAAAUGGAUCAGCUUGCCAGUGUUUGGUGGCAUCACAGGUGUGAUAACUAUCUGCGCUUGUGGUUUUCCAUCAGAUAACCUUCAGUGAUAUGGAGGUUCGCUGGAGCUCACAAAUGUCUCUCCUUGGUGAGGACAGCUCUUUGAACGUUUGAUCUCAAAUCAGGUAGGACUACCCGCUGAACUUAAGCAUAUCAAUAAGCGGAGGA